UUGACGACAGUCAGCAUGCAGCUGGGCC
rnacentral:sRNA from 1 species